UACGAAGGGUGCAAGCGUUACUCGGAAUUACUGGGCGUAAAGCGUGCGUAGGUGGUGAGUUAAGUCUGUCGUGAAAGCCCCGGGCUCAACCUGGGAAUGGCGAUGGAUACUGGCUCGCUAGAGUGCGGUAGAGGAGAGUGGAAUUCCCGGUGUAGCAGUGAAAUGCGUAGAGAUCGGGAGGAACAUCAGUUGCGAAGGCGGCUCUCUGGACCAACACUGACACUGAGGAGCGAAAGCCAGGGGAGCAAACGGG
rnacentral:rRNA from 1 species